rnacentral:rRNA from 1 species
AUUGAACGCUGGCGGCAGGCCUAACACAUGCAAGUCGAGCGGAGCGGCGGACGGGUGAGUAUUGCCUAGAAAUCUGCCUGGUAGCGGGGGAUAACGUCCGGAAACGGGCGCUAAUACCGCAUACUAUCAGAUGAGACUAUGCCGGAUUAGCUAUUUGGUGGGGUAAAGGCAUACCAAGGCAACGAUCCGUAACUGGUAUGAGAGGAUGAGCAGUUACACUGGAACUGAGACACGGUCCAGACUCCUACUGGAGGCAGCAGUGGGGAAUAUUGGACAAUGUGCAAAAGCCUGAUCCAGCCAUGCCGCGUGUGUGAGGAAGGUCUGCGGAGUGUAAAGCACUUUAGGUUGAGAAGCGUUAGCAUCAGGAUAAGCACCGGCUAACUUCGUGCCAGCCGCCGCGGUAAUUC